UUUCGCAGUCACGAGGCACAAUUGCCCUUUUAAAGAAUUGUGUCCGAAAAUGAAUUAUUCUUUCCGUCGCUGGAAAAAGGGUUGUGAUCAAGGGUCACCCGAAAUAGCACCCCUUGAAGGAUAGACGGGGUGACGUUCGGUCCCCGCUACCUGUUGUCUCAUCAGACGAUUAUGUGUGUGUCUCCAGAAACAUCUGACGAGUGUGUUUAUAUGCGUGAUCACUGUGGCGUCUCUCGGAGGACUAGCGCUGGCCGCCAUUUUGAAAAAAGAGCUCCAUUCGAUUCGACGGAGGCUUGAUGUUAAUAUCAUAUUUCCAGUUUGGUAACUUGGAUUACGUUUCCCGUCUAGUUGCUAGACUUCAGCUGUUGCCUAUUUUUCUGAAAUGAAGAUGAGAUUUUUUUCAAGAUAAAGGUUCUGUGCCGCUCCGAAUCCUGGCGACCAGAAAAUUCCAGAGCAACCCUGACCCGUUCCAACCUUUCAUCUCUAUAAGCAGGUGCUCCAUCGGCCAGAAGUUUAUUGGUUUUCAAACCCUUUCUCUGAUCUCUUGGCAUUAUUUUCGCAAUCUCCCGCAGAGUAACAAAUAUGAAACAACCAAUGACAAAAACAUCGUAUAACUUCAUGUUUGUAACGAUGCUGUUUCAAUGACUAGCUGAAUGCAGAGCCCACAGGCAGAUAUCGGAUUUGUAGAAUGAACUGAGCAUGCGUAACUAUGACUUUUUAUAUUAGUAGAUAUUUAUUCCGGCUUAAGAUAAUUUAUUUCAGCUGAAAUUCGUAAUGAAAGAUUUUGGAAUGUGCCAAUUCAUCAUAAAGUUUGAGUGAUGAGUAUAAUCAAAUUGUCUACAUUUUGUUUGUAAAGUAUUUUAAAUAUACGUUUAUUCCUCUCACCUCCUCCCUCCAACGUCAAUUACAAAAAAAAAA